rnacentral:tRNA from 1 species
GCCUAGUUAGCUUAGUUGGUAGUGCGUCUGCCUUGUAAGCGCUAGGCCGUGGGUUCGAUUCCCGCUAGGGGCG